rnacentral:rRNA from 1 species
GCGGAGGAAAAGAAACCAACAGGGAUUGCCUCAGUAACGGCGAGUGAAGCGGCAACAGCUCAAAUUUGAAAUCUGGCUCCUGCGGGGCCCGAGUUGUAAUUUGUAGAAGAUGCUUUGAGCGUGGCUCCUGGUCUAAGUUCCUUGGAACAGGACGUCAUAGAGGGUGAGAAUCCCGUAUGUGACUGGGUGCCUCCGUUCGUGUAAAGCUCUUUCGACGAGUCGAGUUGUUUGGGAAUGCAGCUCAAAAUGGGUGGUAAAUUUCAUCUAAAGCUAAAUAUUGGCCAGAGACCGAUAGCGCACAAGUAGAGUGAUCGAAAGAUGAAAAGCACUUUGGAAAGAGAGUUAAACAGUACGUGAAAUUGUUGAAAGGGAAGCGCUUGCAACCAGACUUGCCCGCUGCUGAUCAUCCGAGGUUCUCCCCGGUGCACUCGGCAGCGAUCAGGCCAGCAUCGGUUUUGGUGGGUGGAUAAAGGCCUUGGGAAUGUAGCUUCCUUCGGGGAGUGUUAUAGCCCUCGGUGCAAUGCGCCCUACUCGGGACCGAGGACCGCGCUCGGCUAG